rnacentral:misc_RNA from 1 species
AAGUCGUAACAAGGUCUCCGUAGGUGAACCUGCGGAGGGAUCAUUAACACGUGUAAAAACGUAUUAUAUACCAUUUACCAACCAAUACCGUGAACUAUGUUUCAAAACAACAUUUUUUAUUUUUCUUUGCUAUUACCGUCACUGGUGAUAGUGCAGAAAUGCAACCCUUUUCCAAUAUAAAUUUCUUUUUUUCUUUGUUAUUUAACAGUAACAACAUAAAAAAUCAAACUAAAAGCACAACUCUUAGCAACGGAUAUCUUGGUUCUC